UACGUAGGUGACAAGCGUUGUCCGGAUUUACUGGGCGUAAAGAGCGCGCAGGCGGUCGUUCAAGUCGAGUGUGAAAGCCCCCGGCUCAACUGGGGAGGGUCACUCGAUACUGAUCGACUCGAAGGCAGGAGAGGGUAGUGGAAUUCCCGGUGUAGUGGUGAAAUGCGUAGAUAUCGGGGGGAACACCAGUGGCGAAGGCGACUACCUGGCCUGUUCUUGACGCUGAGGCGCGAAAGCUAGGGGAGCAAACGGG
rnacentral:rRNA from 1 species